GAAUUCGCCAAGCUUGGAUUGUUCACCCACCAAUAGGGAACGUGAGCUGGGUUUAGACCGUCGUGAGAAGGUUAGUUUUACCCUACUGUGACUCGUUGUUGCGAUAGUAAUCCUGCUUAGUACGAGAGGAACCGCAGGUUCAGACAUUUGGUUCAUGUGCUUGGCCGAUCUCGGCCAUGGUGCGAAGCUACCAUCUGAGGGAUUAUGACUGAACGCCUCUAAGUCAGAAUCCCGCCUAUGAAGGCAACGAUGAAAUUUGCUCGCCGGUGUCGGGAGGCACUUCUAUGUAACUUUUAAAGUUACAGCUAAUGCCCCAUUAUAUGGUCUUUCCGAACGAUUGAAAAGUCGUGCGGUUGCCAAAGCCGGACUACACGGUACAACGUCGGGGCGCAAAAUCACUUGCAGACGACUUGAUUACUGGUCAAGGUGUUGUAUCCAGUAGAGCAGCCUCCAUACUGCGAUCUGUUGAGACUCAUCCUUUGAUUGGACGAUUUG
rnacentral:rRNA from 1 species